UAUAAUAAAAAAUACAGCUGGACUACACAUCCAAACAAUUUUUCAUCUAAGACCAUUCAAGUAGGCCUAAAACAAAAACAAAACCAAUCUCAUUAAAUAAACGUGUAUUACACGCGCCGAACUCCACCAAAACAUUACCAAUUUAUUCGUACCUUGAAUAUGAAACAACGUUCUUUUUUCACACUCGAAAUUGCUACGGCAGAAUUUUAAAUCUCUCUCAAAAUCUCUCAAACCACGUUCGUAACUGUUGCUAUUGAAGAAUCGAGUGAAGCUUUCGAAAGGAAGAAGAAAAAACAAACAAAACAACAACACAGACUCUGCAAGCAAAAAUAAAAAAGACGACGGUGACAGAAAAAGGAAAAGACGCGCUAUAACAAAACUCACGAUCUCAUAUGCCAGACAAAAGCAAUAGCAAGGGUGUUCAAGGGAAUGAGUCAGCAAAAGAAAGAUAUUAUUGAAGAAAUAGAAUUCAAUGUGCUGGCACAUAUCCUAGAAAUGAACGUCUCUCACAAGCUCUUGAGAGAAUUCAUUGGUUGCUAUGAUGACUAUUAUGGAUACUUGAACACUCUCUAUGGCAGAAUAUACAUAACACUACCUGCCAAGGUAGCAAAUGCGCUGGGCAUAAAUAAUGGCAGUAAUAUACCUUUUACCUUGUGCUUAUUUCGGUUCAGUAGUUGCUUAAUUUUUGGUUCAUUUGAAUACAGAAAAUGAAACUGAACCUUUUGACUGAUUUGUUGCUAUUAAAAUAUUGUAAGGGAUUGUUUUCCUGAAAAAAUUGAGUAUAGUGAUAAACCUCUAUUUCAUGGUUUAUCUUGUGUUCAAUUGAGUGAUUUUUAUCAACUCUUUACCCACUUAUUCAUACUAUUUGCAUGGUUUUACUUUUUCCUUCCGGAUUUUGUGUUAUGAUUGAAAACAUGCUUCUUUGGACUUUAAAUUUGCUAUGUUUAAAUCUCUCUUAUUACCAUUCGAUGCCUUGAUAUGUGUGUUAAGUGAUUUCAGAGAUUACAGGGCAGGAAUGGCUUAGAGGAUGGAAAGGAAGCAUGCAAAAGUAGAAGGAAUACAAGAAACUGAAGAAACUGCUAAAGCUGUCAGCCUGACCUCUUCUCACUAAAAUGGUCAUAACUUGAGCUAUAGAGGUCCAAAGAAUGCGGUUCUAGUUGCGUUGAAAAGCUAACGUCCGGGGCUUCGAUUUGAUAUAUAAUUUACCAUAGUGGCCGAACAGCUAGGCGACGCGAACGCGUGCUUCAUGCGGACGCGUCGCAGUGACGAAAAUCAGCGUGGUAGAUUUCAUAACCAGCGAAUUCUGGGCUAUUUUUGACCCAGUUCUCGGCCCAGAAAACACAUAUUAGAGGCUAUAAAAUGGGGGAAUGCAUCCAUUCAUGAGGAGACUUCAUACAACAUUCAUAUUUCACUUCUCAUAAUUUAUAUGUAGUUUUAGAGAGAGAGGCUCUCUCAUCUCUCUUAGGAUUUAGGAUUUCUAUUAGGAUUAGGCUAUGAUUUCUUCAAUUACAGGUUCAAUGUUCCUUUAUUUUAUAUUUCUCUUCCAUUUUUAGAUACUCUAAUGCUUUUAUUUGAUUUAUGUUGCCAAAUUGGCUUAUGAACUUUUCAUGUUAGGAUUUUCUUAACUAAUGCAA